CAGAGGCGAUGAAGGACGUGCUAAUCUGCGAUAAGCGUCGGUAAGGUGAUAUGAACCGUUAUAACCGGCGAUUUCCGAAUGGGGAAACCCAGUGUGUUUCGACACACUAUCAUUAACUGAAUCCAUAGGUUAAUGAGGCGAACCGGGGGAACUGAAACAUCUAAGUACCCCGAGGAAAAGAAAUCAACCGAGAUUCCCCCAGUAGCGGCGAGCGAACGGGGAGCAGCCCAGAGCCUGAAUCAGUAUGUGUGUUAGUGGAAGCGUCUGGAAAGGCGCGCGAUACAGGGUGACAGCCCCGUACACAAAAAUGCACAUGCUGUGAGCUCGAUGAGUAGGGCGGGACACGUGGUAUCCUGUCUGAAUAUGGGGGGACCAUCCUCCAAGGCUAAAUACUCCUGACUGACCGAUAGUGAACCAGUACCGUGAGGGAAAGGCGAAAAGAACCCCGGCGAGGGGAGUGAAAAAGAACCUGAAACCGUGU
rnacentral:rRNA from 1 species